UUGCUCUGUGGCUCUUGCUUCUUCUUGGUGAAGGUAUUUUCAUCUGGGAGUUCCUGCCCUGGAUUAGCUUCAUUCUGCACAUGGGAAUAGCAUGGAGAGGAGUUGGGGACUGCAGGCUCUACAGGUGACUGUAGGAUGGAGCCUGGAGGCAGCUCUUGUCCAAAGGCCUUUACCUGUAUGGCUGGAGAAACACCGAUAGCUAUGAGCAGAUCUGGCACUGCAUUCAUGUCCCAAACCUGCUUCCAAUGUGGGCAGCCCAUGCCAGACCAACAGGAGAUGGACUCAUCCUGAGCAUAUCCCCAGCUCUAGGAGCUGCUUCCCCUGCAUGGAGAGCAUCCUUGUGGGCUGCUGGGUCAGCCCAGUGCAGUGCCACCUACAGCAGCUUCACGUCCACUGAGCCAUGCUCGAAGAAAUGCAAGAGCAGAGCUGCUGCUGACAAUGAAAUGGGAGAGACAAGUAUUUAUUCUGUUCGGACCUCCUCGAGAAGCAGACGCACGUUGGCAGAAUGCUAAGCAGAGCGGCAGUUCGGGGAGACAAAUGUCCAGGCAGCUUUUCUGUAAUAUCCAUUUGAAAGAAGCUUAGUGCCACGAGGCUUUCAUCUCAAUAUUCCUGAGGCCGGAUUUGAAAGUGCUUAAGGUUAAAUAUUACUCACUCUUGGAAAGAACAUCUCCAUCUGUCUCACAAAAAAAGAAAGCUUUCAAUCUUGGAGGUACUCAGGGAAACUUACCCAUAAACACAGUCAUUAGAGAUUUCCGAGGGAAAAAAAAGAUCCUAUAGGCUCUGCCUGAGAAGUAAUUAGCCUUUCAAAUUCAGCAAUGUUUAAUCCCACAAAGCCUUAUAUACAAAAUAUAAUCCUGUUUUUCUUCAGAGCUGAGCCAGUGAGGGAGCAUGACCCCCGCUGGACCAGGCUGUGCACAGCUGGGUCCCAUUGGCCACAUCUGGGUGUCUCAAGGUGCAGGGUGAGAAAGAGGCAUCCAACAAGCUCAGUUCACCCCAAGGAUGCUCUGGGUCCUGAGGUGAUGACCCUGUGAAGCUGCAGCUGGCAGGAGGCACUGCUGCACGGCCCUGGCUUGCUGAGGGAUUCUCUGGCUGCUAAAUGCCCAAAUCACUUUGGAGAACUGGAUUUAAGCAGCCAGUUUUGAACGCUCGUGGUAACAGAGAAACCUGAAAUAACAUUGUGUGAUUUGGGGUGAAGUGCCCUGAGGCCUGCUGAUAAUAAUUGUAGCACUCUUUAAAAAGAAAAAUGAUUUUAUUUUUUUUUUCUGGGCAGUCAAAGCAGCUGACAACAUCCCAGGGGACCCCCUGCCGCUUUCCAGAGGAGAAAUUGCAGCUUUUCAGAGGCUGAGAAAUGACACCGCUCUGCAACUCACGCUGCUCCUGCAGAUCUCAGCUCCAGCACAGCAACACAGUGCUGAGGCCACGGGCUCAGGGCUGCUACGUUGUGCCACCAGGCAGGGGACGUGCAAGCAAUGCAACAUCUGUCAGCAGAAACAUCAGCAUCCAUUCCUAACCAUGCCGUGAUCUGGCAGAAGCUGGUGCAAAGCUCUGCUUUAGAAAGUGUUCCUUGUUCAUCCUUGUGGUAAGACAUGAGGUAGGUCCUGCCAGUUUGGUGACACGCGGCUUGUGUCCUCUCCCAGAUGUGAUGCCUCAACCAUCCCAUGGGUGCCCUGAGAGCUGCAAGGCUGGGAGAUGAGGUCUGAAGUAUCUCAGUGCAAUCGCUGACCAUUUUAAUGGGAUGAAACCAAUCUCAAAAAGAAGACAGAUUUAAGUGAGAUCUUGUGUUCUUCACAUCAGCUUCCCUGCUGAGCUCAGCCUCUCAGUGUGGUGUGGGAUAUCUUCUGUAUAAUCUGGCUUUUAAUGCAUUGAUCGUAGCUAUUUGAUUACAGUAGGAAGAAAAGGCCCAGCAAGAAGUGCUAAUAAUAUCACAAAACUUAAAGCAAAUGGAAGAAGUUCAGAAAAACAAAAAUACCCUAAAAAUAAAGGGCACAAAAGCAAUGUCUGCUCUUAGACAACUAUUAUUAUUAGGGUUUUGAUGCUCAUCUGGACCUGGCUGUUAAGCAGUGCCCUCCUGUAUGGGCUCUGUAUCUUGGGCAAAGGGCAAAUGCAACGAGGAAGGCCAGGUAUCUCAUAGCAGCAUACAAAAGUGAGCAAAUCAAUACCAAUAAACUACCUCAGAUAGUGAUUAAUUAAUAGGAAUUAAUUUUAAAAAGAAGAGGCUAUUGACGUGAAUUGACAGAGGUGCUAACCUCAGAGCAAUUGAGGGAAAAUGUCUUUAAAACAGAGUGAUUAAGUUGUAGAAAGUAAUAAAAGGGCUGCGCUGCCCCCAGGAUGAGCUCAGCCAGCCUGGGAGCAAAGUCGGGAGAGCUUCUAAUUAGAUGCUGGAGCUUGAUGAGGUAACUGGCUGGGUUGGCACUGCCAGCCUGGAGUUCUGUUGUGUCACUUCUGAGUGCGUCCUGGGUGUGAGGACGGUGGAAUUCCUGCAGGGUGUUGACAGCUGUGGAAUCAGAGAUGGAAGCAAGGAUAAGAGUGAGAAAGAGGUGGUGUUUCACCUCUCUGGACAUCUUCAGCACUGCAGUGAUGUUACUCGCUGUUAUUAGAGGCUGCAUGGAAUAGAACCACAUGGGACCAAGCACAGCCCGUGGCCGUGGUGGAGAUGAGUCAGCCAGCCUUGCUGACUUCUCAAAUUGCAUUAAUUCACACUCCCACGAAUGCUUCUGAAAAUGAAGGGGAGGCACCCGGUGGCCCUUUGUGGUGGGGCGGGGAGGUGUGACAGCACAGAGGGCCAAAACUACCUGUUGGAGAUCUUCAUCGCUCAUCUCCUGCCUUCUUUGAUGCUUUGAAGCACUGGAAGACCAUUUGGAGAAAGGUGACCCUAAUCAAGUUGAAGGUAUUUCCAAAUCUUCAUUAAGCCCAUCUUACGUGAUGACACUCCACCCAGCAGGUGCCCAGCAGUGGGUCGGGCUGCCUGGUCCCAAGCAAGAGGCCAUCCCUCUCCCCACAGCCUUCCUCUGCCUUCACUUUGGAGCAAAGCUGCUGACCAGAAGCUGGAGGGUGUAUUGUCUGAGAUGUAGGCUGUAUCUGAUUGCUCAGUGGUUAUGGGAAACUAAUGUUGUGUGCCACGUGCAGAGCAGUUCCAAGCUGGUUUCUGCAGGUCUGCUGGGCACGCAGCCACCAGAGCAGCCCCAGCCUUUAUUUUCGGUUUUGCUAUCUUUGCAAAUGGAGCUGUUUACUAACAAUGUUCCCUAACAGACAAUUAAAAGCUGAUUUACAUGAGGCUUCAAAAAAAAGAAAGGCAUUCCAGAAGUUAAGCAUUUUCAGCUCGUUUUGAAAUAGCUGAGUUAAAUGAGAGUAACAGGGAGCUGAGCCCUGCUUUGCAAAACAAAUCGCAGUGAUUGGAUUCAUCUGUGCAACAAUGGGAGCUCUUGCUAAAUGGUAACUUGGAGGCUUCGGAGAGAACCCUGGCUGGGAUCUCGCCCCCAAAGCUUGCUCUGACCAGUGCUGGGGCUGCUGCCCUUCAGCAGGACACGGCCCAAGCCCCAAGCAGGCAGUGGCCGCCCCAGCCUGCAGGCUGUAUCAUCCCAGCACCAUGCUGGGUUGGUGGAGAUGUGGGAUUCAUCCUACAGUGCCAUCGAGUUGCUCCCUCUGAGCUGAAAGGCUGAAGACAGCUUUGUCUGCAGUGGCUCACAGAGCAACUUAUUACUGAGACUGAGGACCUAAAAUGACCUUAUAGAAAGGAAAGAAAAAAAAUUGUUGUGGGAAUUAAGGAAAGAAGAAUCCAGCGGGUCUAUUGUUAAUGGCUGGCAUCAUUAUAAAGUUCACAAUUGGUGACUUAUUUGAAGACUGCUUUUCUCUGAAUUCUUUAUGCUGUGCAAAUCCAUCUUGAAGGGAAUGACGCUCUCUCAGACUCCUAUCAACAUUUACGUUUGCAGGAGCCUCUAAGCUUUUA